rnacentral:Y_RNA from 1 species
GGCUGGUCUGAGUUCAGUGGUAUUUACAACUAAUUGAUCACAACAGAUUUCUUCAGAUUUCUUUGUUCUUUCUCUACUCUCACUGCUCCACUUGACUAGCUUUUU